AACAGAGAUUGAACAAUAAAAAGAAACAAGGAGUUUCAUUAUCCAAGGCCUUAAGCAAUAUGAUAUAUAAUGCAAUGCAUUGAAUGAGAUUUGUAUUCGAAGAAAUGAUGGUCUGUUAAGCUAGGUAAUGUGCUAACUGUCCAAAAACAUUAAAAAUGUGCCAAAUGUGUUUAAUAUGCAAAAGCAUAAAGAUAAACCAAUGUAAACAAGACAAAAGCAUAGUAGCGUAGAGGUGAAGUAGUACAACUGUUCAAAAGUGUUUUCUCAUGUAUGAUGUAAUACGAUCAGAGAAGUUGGGGAUGUAAAAUUCAAAAUUUAUAUGUGUGUAAGUACAAGCAGCCAUUAAUACCAAUGACAUUGUUUGUGUAAACAGAUGUAGGUGUAGAACCAAUGUAUAAGGAUGUUAACCAUUGUAUAUGGUUUAAAAGUCAAGUAGCUAGAUUUUAUGUAUUGGAAUGGUUAUUUGUAUGUAGUGAAUAAAUAUGCAGAGUUGCUAAAACUAUGUAGUAUUUGUAUCAAUCGUCAAUCAAUUUAAAGUAGAUAUGUAAGGUGACCUGUGUGCGUCAUUGUAUAAAUUUUUCCUCAUAAUGAAACAAAAUAGUCCAUUUA
rnacentral:lncRNA from 1 species